CGUUACUCGCCUUGCCCUUUUUGUUUUGCACACGGCCUUUUUAUGUGUGUGUGAAACGAUUCUGGGGACGUAUGCAAGUGGAAAAUUCAAUUUGUAAAAGUGCAUAAAAGUAGCAACCGACGAGACCAGACCAGACCUAGAGCAGCGGUGCAGAGGGCCAUACGAGUAUGUGGGGCUGCUCAGCGCUCUGAGUAUUUGUUGUUAAACAAAAGCAUCAGCUACUAUUCCACGCCAGGAGGCAGCCAGCAACCCCAAGUGCCCCAGCAGCAUCAUCAUCUCCAUGUCAGCCAGACCUGGACGUGGGGCGGGUGGCUGUUUGCACAUGCAGCAAUAACAACGGAGGCUCGUGAGGAUCCCGAGUGACAAGUGGAAUAAACGUGAAUGCAGGCGCCAACAUUGUAAUUAAAUCUGCGUCAACACAAGGGGAGAGCACGAGUGCGCCAAGAGGGCCAACAAAUGCAUACGACAUCUUUCUAUGCGCGUGUCUCUGGAUGAGAUGGGAUUGUGUUGUCUUUCUGGCUGUUCACUUGUUGGCCCCAGCAGAGUGCAGGUCCGGCCUGGUUUCCAUCUAGGUUUGGAAAGGCAGCAGCAGCAACAGCAGCAGCAGUGGCAGGCAUGCUGAACGGAAUGGGAAAUCAAAUCAAAGUGCCAGAAUACGAUUAUACUUACCCACAAGAAGAUAGUUGCAGCUCUUCAACAGAUAUAUGUACAUACGUAAUAUAAUAAUAGCUGCAUUGGCCAUCAGCAUAGAUACAAACGUCUGCCAGCUAAUUUGAAUGCAGAAAUGAUAUUAAAUUUAAGGCAUUUAAGUGGUUCACAUGCACCAAAAUGGAAAAUGCAAUGAAUGGUGUGGAAUUCCCCAAAAUGCUGCACCGUGUUAAUGACUCAUUACACAUGCAACACAAAAUGGGCGACGCACAGGCACGGACCACAGCAAACUUUUCGCCACAGCCACAGUUUGUGGAACGUGAAUGUGGCUAAAAUGCGGCAAAACAUUAAGUUGAAUUAUGCAAUAAAAAAUAAUGCAAUAAUAGUUAAACUGGCACAUGCCCCACAACAGCCCCCGAAAAAAAAAAACAAAUGGAGAGUCAGGAAGCACCGGACCAUAUGGAACAUACAUAUAUAAAACUACAGCUUCGAACACAAACAAGUCCCGACUGAGGGGUUAAAUAUUAAAAUGAGGCACAACAGUUCUAGUAACGAUACUGAAAACUUGGAUCCGAACCAUAGACAAUGCACCCACAUGGAUAACCUGUAAGAGGCGUUCAAUGAGAGAGGAGACAUGUGGAAUCAGUAAUACGCAUACGUACGAGAGUGUUAAUUAAUAAAAGACUGAUCAACAGUAAGUAUAUACAUUUUACAUAUAUUUCACAUUUAUUCAUGACACCAA